UAGUGCUUUUUUUGUCUUCUUGUAAUGUGAAUUUACAAUGUUGUCAUUCCAAAACGUGAAAGAGUACUAUACAAAUUGGGAAAGACUACAAUACACACCCCUUAUUUGGGUGUGUAUUAUAUGCAUCCCCCAAAAUGU